UACGUAGGGUGCGAGCGUUAAUCGGAAUUACUGGGCGUAAAGCGUGCGCAGGCGGUUGUGCAAGACAGAUGUGAAAUCCCCGGGCUUAACCUGGGAACUGCAUUUGUGACUGCACAGCUGGAGUGCGGCAGAGGGGGAUGGAAUUCCGCGUGUAGCAGUGAAAUGCGUAGAUAUGCGGAGGAACACCGAUGGCGAAGGCAAUCCCCUGGGCCUGCACUGACGCUCAGGCACGAAAGCGUGGGGAGCAAACAGG
rnacentral:rRNA from 1 species